GACGAACGCUGGCGGCGUGCUUAACACAUGCAAGUCGAACGGAAAGGCCCUGCUUUUGUGGGGUGCUCGAGUGGCGAACGGGUGAGUAACACGUGAGUAACCUGCCCUUGACUUUGGGAUAACUUCAGGAAACUGGGGCUAAUACCGGAUAGGAGCUCCUGCUGCAUGGUGGGGGUUGGAAAGUUUCGGCGGUUGGGGAUGGACUCGCGGCUUAUCAGCUUGUUGGUGGGGUAGUGGCUUACCAAGGCUUUGACGGGUAGCCGGCCUGGGAGGGUGACCGGCCACAUUGGGACUGAGAUACGGCCCAGACUCCUACGGGAGGCAGCAGUGGGGAAUAUUGCACAAUGGGCGGAAGCCUGAUGCAGCAACGCCGCGUGCGGGAUGACGGCCUUCGGGUUGUAAACCGCUUUCGCAUGUGACGAAGCGUGAGUGACGGUAAUGGGUAAAGAAACACCGGCUAACUACGU
rnacentral:rRNA from 1 species